GGCCGCACGAGGACGUGGUCCCGCCCCAACCGCUGUUCAGCGGCGCGGGGCGGCGAGACCCAGGUAGUUGCACCGGUGCGGGUGGCUGCAGUGCCUCACGUGAAUUGAACACUACCAGGUUGCUUUACAAAGGUGGUCUCGGAACACCCAGUUGAGGAUGCUUGGCAGGGACAGUGUACCUCCAUCUCUGGGAGAAGCUCCCUGGGCCUCAAUUUCCCCGUCUGUAAAAUGGGGGUCCUGGCAUAGCACAGAUAGAUGCUCAGUAUUCGUUGUUUGAAAAAAAGAAUGGGACAGUCCUUAGCAUGGAGGUUGGCCACAGGGCAAUGGUGGUUGCUGCUGCUUCGGACGAUAAUCAUAAUAACAAUAAUGUCAAUUAAUAUAGUAAUUAUUACAAUAGCUAUAAUAAUAUAUUGUAAUUAUAGGUUACAUUAAUUAUAAUUGCAUAAUUAAUAAUUUUUAAUCUUAUUAUUCAGAGGCUAUACCAAAGUGAUUGGGAAAAAAAAAAAAGUGAUUGGGAGUGCUUGCUUUGGGGUGAAAUCCUGACCUGGACACCUGCUAGCUGUGUGAUUUUGUACAAGUGACUUCACUUCUCUGAGUCUAGAGUUUCCUCCCCUGGGAAAGGGAAAUCCUAUCCAUUAAGAUGGGAUGAAGAAGCGCUUCUGGAUGGCUCUCUGUGUGGAGCCUGUCACUUGAUCUCUGGGUGGUGGUGAUUCUAUUUCUGAGUUGAGGCCGCUUUGACAUCCAUCCCUCAGGGCAUGCUUCUUGAUGGCUUUUUGACCUCGUUCAGCAUGGAGGUAGAUUCCAGGUUUGCCCAGCUGUGGACACCUCCAACACAUCCCUCAAUUGCUCUUGGGCAAAUUGCAGGGCACGUGAACAUUCCACUGGCGGAGGAAGGACCAGCUGGUUUCAACACGGCCACCAUAACACACCAGGACCAUCACCCAGGAGGAGCCCUUUGUGGAACAUGGAUGUGUGGCCAAGGCCCCAGCGACGCCGGUGGGGAACAGAAAAAUAGGCAUGUGUGUCUAUUUUAUAGCUCUUCUCUGCUCUCUGAACGGCCUCUUUGAAGCAGGGGGACGGACGGCCAGCAAAGUCAUCCUGAAUCAAUAACUGGCGUAGCGUGUCAGGAGGUGACCAAAGAAUCAGAAGGGGAACGGACCUCAUCACACCCACGAGGACGAUCGUCGUCCAAAGUGGAAAAUAACAAGUGUUGUCAAGGAUGUGGAGAGACUGGAAGCCUCGUGCACCGCCGGUGGGAAUGCAAAACGGGGCAGCGGCCGUGGAAAGAAGUUUGGCGGGUCCUCAAAAAGUUAAACAUAGAAUUAUUUUAUGAGCCAGAAACUCUGCUUCUGGGUGUGUACCCAGAAUAAUUGAAUGUCGGGUCUCAAAGAGAUUCUUGUACAUGUAUGUUCACAGCAGCAUCGCCCAAAGGUAGAAACACCCCAAGUGUCCAGGAACAGAGGACGUGGAUAAACACUGGUCCAUGCACGCGGAGGAAUGUUUCUCAGCCAUAAAGAGCACUGAAGCUCUGAUACAUGUCAUAUCAUGGAUGAACCUCGAAAACAUCGUGCCGAGGGAAAAAAAGCCAGAUACAAAAGGGCACAUCGUGUGUGAUUCCAUGUGUAUGGAAUGUCCAGAACAGACAAACCCAUGGACACAGAGAGCAGAAAAGAAUGCGUUCACUAACCCAGUGGCCAUGUGCCACGUGCAAGUGCCAUGUACCAGUGAUGAACUCCGGCGAAGCUCCUCCCCACAGCACAGCAGCUGGGUGAGGGCAGCGACUCGCUCGGGCCUGUGGGGGUCCACGCUCAUUCCCCGGGGCCCACCUAGUGCCGAGAGAGGCCGAACUGGAAAAGUAAAUGGAGAUGUACAGGGAGCCACCCCUCCAUUCUUCAGGCCUGUGGCGGUGGCCUCUCUGCAGGUUCUGGAUGUUAAUGAAGAGGCGCCUUCAAUGACUGCCCAUCCAUCUCAUCCAGAGAGACAUUUGUUAACUCCAUAACCAUCUCCAUGACUCAGUGGGGGCUUGAGCACCUUGCCUGGCAUCCCAAGCAUGUUCUCCCAAAGAGAGAACCAACAGGAUAUGGUAUAUCAAGAGGCUUAUUGCAUGGAGCUGGCUUAUGCAACUGUGGGGACUGACCAGUCUGAAAUUCGUAGGGCAGCGGGGCAGACUGGAGACACAGGGCGGCACUGAUGCCACAAUCCACAGGCUGCCCAAGACUCUCCAUAACCGGGACGCCUGGGUGGCUCAGCGGUUGAGUGUCUGCCUUUGGCCCAGGGCAUGAUCCCAGGAUCCGGGAUCGAUUCCCAUAUCAGGCUCCUUGCAGGGAGCCUGCUUCUCCCUCAGCCUAUGUCUGCCUCUCUCACUGUGUUUCUCAUGAAUAAAUAAAUAAAAAUCUUAGGAAAAAAAAAAAAACAACAACUCUCCAUAACUAAACCCAAGCCAGGCUCCUCUGAACCCUCUUCUUGACUAGGCCCAAACCUUGACCUAUAAAGAUUUGAACAAAGCACAAACAUGGUGUCUAAAGGCUCAAGGCCACAUCCCUAGGAUGACCCUAGCUCCCUUAAAGUACCUGCUUGAGAACACUCAAGGCUGCUCAAGGAACUGGCCAUCUGAUCCAGUGACACCUGAAGGUGGGCCCUGUCUCCCAGCCUCUGGGGUAUGGGAGCCAAACUUCCAGAAGCACAGUUGGCAAACCCAGUUGGGUUUAACAAGGGCCAAGCACCUGCCCCUCCACUUCCAGUGUUUUGUACUGGUUCACUUCCUUGACUACAAAGCCCCCCUCACCUACCUUCCUGUCCCCCAACAUCAAAUGGGUGUUGAGUUUGCCUAGUGUAAUAAUUAUGUUCCUGGGCAGCCCCGGUGGCUUAGUGGUUUAGCGCCGCCUUCAGCCCGGGGUGUGAUCCUGGAGACCCGGGAUCGAGUCCCACGUCGGGCUCCGUGCAUGGAGCCUGCUUCUCC